AACGAACGCUGGCGGCAGGCUUAACACAUGCAAGUCGAGCGGACACUUCGGUGUCAGCGGCAGACGGGUGAGUAACGCGUGGGGAUCUGCCCAAUGGUACGGAACAACCCAGGGAAACUUGGGCUAAUACCGUAUAAGUCCUUCGGGAGAAAGAUUUAUCGCCAUUGGAUGAACCCGCGUCUGAUUAGCUAGUUGGUGAG
rnacentral:rRNA from 1 species